ACCAUUAGAUGUAAAUCCAUGGAGUCUUCUUUUUCUAUAUAACGGUCCUAUCACUUACAAAUGAUAUCUGCCUUGUCUUUUUCUUUCCAGUUCUUACUCCUCUGAUUUUUUUCUUUAAAUUCUUCAAAACGUUGGGAAGGAUCUACGAGACAGCAGAGGGAGAUUUGAUUCCAGAAGAAGAGAAGGCAAUGCGACCCCAGAGACAAAGCCUGGAGAAGAUGCAGCCACAAGCCAAGGGAUGGAGCUGCCACAAGAAGCUGGAAGAAUCAAGGAACAUGUUCUCCCCCUAGGUCCUCUGGAAAGAACAGUCCUGCUGACACCUUGACUUGAACCUGGUAAGACUAAUUUCCUCUGUCUGGCCUCCAGAAUGGAAAAGAACACAUUUGUGUUGUUUUUAAGCCACUUAGGUCAUGGUAAGUUGUUGGAGCAGCCUUAGGAAACACAUACACCAAUGGGCUGUGUUCAAAGGGAAGCCUCAGCUGUGUGGUUACAUUCUGUAGGGCUCCCUUCCUCCCUUCCUUCCUCCGUCC
rnacentral:lncRNA from 1 species